rnacentral:rRNA from 1 species
CACGUAGGCACCAAGCGUUGUCCGGAUUUAUUGGGCGUAAAGAGCGUGUAGGCGGCCAGGUAGGUCUGCUGUGAAAACUCGAGGCUCAACCUCGAGACGCCGGCGGAAACCAUCUGGCUAGAGUCCGGAAGAGGAGAGUGGAAUUCCUGGUGUAGCGGUGAAAUGCGCAGAUAUCAGGAAGAACACCCGUGGCGAAGGCGGCUCUCUGGGACGGUACUGACGCUGAGACGCGAAAGCGUGGGGAGCGAACAGG